rnacentral:rRNA from 1 species
AGAGUUUGAUCAUGGCUCAGAAUGAACGUUGGCGGCGUGGAUUAGGCAUGCAAGUCGAACGGGCCUGGUUUUCGGAUCAGGUCAGUGGCGCAAGGGUGAGUAAGGCGACGGCAACCAACCCCAUGGUUGGGCAUAGCCGCGGGAAACUGCGGGUAAUUCCCAGCGAUGUUCGUGUCGGGCAUCCGAUGUGAACCAAAGUUCUGGCGCCGUGGGACGGGCCGUCGUGGUAUUAGGUAGUUGGCGGGGUAAUGGCCCACCAAGCCGAUGAUGCCUACCGGGCGUGCGAGCGUGGCCCGGCACACUGGGACUGAGACACUGCCCAGACUCCUACGGGAGGCUGCAGUCGAGAAUCUUCGGCAAUGGGCGCAAGCCUGACCGAGCGACGCCGCGUGGAGGAUGAAGGCCUUCGGGUUGUAAACUCCUGUCGAGGGGGAGGAAGGGGUAACCUUGACCGAUCCCUGGAGGAAGCACGGGCUAAGUUCGUGCCAGCAGCCGCGGUAAGACGAACCGUGCUAACGUUAUUCGGAAUCACUGGGCUUAAAGCGCGUGUAGGCGGAUGGGGACGUCGGUUGUUGAAAGCCCCCGGCUCAACCGGGGAACUGGCACCGAAACGCCCCGUCUGGAGGGACGUAGGGGGACCUGGAACUUCCGGUGGAGCGGUGAAAUGCGUUGAGAUCGGAAGGAACGCCCGUGGCGAAAGCGAGGUCCUGGACGUUUUCUGACGCUGAGACGCGAAAGCUAGGGGAGCGAACGGGAUUAGAUACCCCGGUAGUCCUAGCUGUAAACGAUGGGCACUAGAUAGGGGGCUCGCCGAUGGGCUCCCUGUCGUAGGGAAACCGUGAAGUGCCCCGCCUGGGGAGUAUGGUCGCAAGGCUGAACUCAAAGGAAUUGACGG